AACGAACGCUCGGUCCGCUGCGGCCGCGCAGGGCCAACUUUCGCGAGGGAGCGGCAGACACUCUCCGGGAGACGUUAUCGCUCCCUCCGCCUGCGCCUGGCCGCUCUAGAAAGGGGUGCCAGCCAUCGCUGGGGUGCCUUGAUUCUGUUCCACCUUGGUCCGGUUUAUUUCAGUUUAAUGGUUACGUAACAACGGUCCGUCUCUCCUACCAACCGGUACCCCGCCCACGCCAGCAGCCACGGGUCGCCAGCGCCACGCAGCGGAGACGGGCGGCAUGGCUGGCCCAAGUGCUGAAGCGGCGGCUGGUGAAGCUGGUGGUGAAUUUCCUCUUCUACUUUCGGACAGACGAGGCCGAGCCCGUCGGAGCCCUGCUGCUGGAGCGCUGCAGAGUCAUCCGGGAAGAGCCCGGCACCUUCUCCAUCAGCUUCAUUGAGGACCCUGAGAGGAAGUAUCACUUUGAGUGCAGCAGCGAGGAGCAGUGUCAGGAGUGGAUGGAGGCUCUGCGUCGGGCCAGCUACGAGUUCAUGCGGAGAAGCCUCAUCUUCUAUAGGAAUGAAAUCCGGAAGGUGACGGGCAAGGACCCCCUGGAACAGUUCGGCAUAUCCGAGGAGGCCAGGUUCCAGCUGAGUGGCUUGCAGGCGUGAGCGCAGGGCACGGUGGUCAGCGUGCAGCGGGACGGGACUGGCCCUGCCCAGCCAUGAAUCGCUUGGCCAUGCCUGGAUUUGUUUUGUUUUGGUUUUUGGGUCAGGGUUUCACUGUGUUGCCCAGGCUAGAGUGCAGUGGUGCCACAGCUCACUGUGACCUUGACCUUCUGGACUCAAGUGAUCCUCCUGCCUCAGCUUCCCAAGUAGCGGGGAUCACAGGCAUGAGCCGCCACACCCGGCCAUCACACCUGGAUCUUCAGUGGGAGGUUUUUGGUUUGGAGACAUCCAAAGCCUGAAGCCAGGUGGGUGUGGGCAGGGGCUGCAUUUUAUGAAACUGCCCAGCAAGCUGCGCUCCCUGGGGCCCCAGGAUCCACCUAACUGGCCUGGCACCUGGUGCCACGUGCUGCUGCCGCCAGGAUAUGCGCCUUCCCACAGGUGCCCCGCCUGAGUUGUGUGCAUCCAGGGGCCUGGUGAGCCCCCAGGCUGGUGGCAUGGCCCCCCUGCCCCGUGCUGAAUGAAUGUACAGAGCCAGACAAAGCUGUGAAUGGCAUAGGGGCUGAGUCCCCCACCAGCUGUGAAUUCUCCUGCAGACAGGAGGGCCCUGGCUGUGCACCUGGGGAAGUGGUUGCCCUGGGGCCGGGGUGCUUGUUCUGUUCAAAUAAAGGUACCUCUUUUCCA
rnacentral:sRNA from 1 species